rnacentral:rRNA from 1 species
UACAGAGACUGCAAGCGUUAUUCGGAUUCACUGGGCGUAAAGGGUGCGCAGGCGGCCGUGUGUGUGAGGCGUGAAAGCCCGGGGCUUAACCCCGGAAUUGCACCUCAAACUACAUGGCUAGAGCAUUGGAGAGGGUAGCGGAAUUCACGGUGUAGCAGUGAAAUGCGUAGAUAUCGUGAGGAACACCAGAGGCGAAGGCGGCUACCUGGACAAUUGCUGACGCUCAGGCACGAAAGCGUGGGGAGCAAAA